AAAAACACUAAGAGAGAACGCAUUUGCUUUGCUAACCUUAAUUGUUUUCAGUAGAAAAUCAAAUUUUAGAUUCCCAUAAGAUAACAUAUAUUGUGCACAUAAUAACUUGAACUUAUUCAAAAUAUUUUAUUACUGAGAAUUUGCAUUCCCAUACAAAUACAUUUUGUUUUAUCUUGCUACAUACAAUGGAAACCAUCUUUUUUCUUCUAUUACUUUUUUCUUGUAUCUGUUGUAAAGAUAGUAGU
rnacentral:lncRNA from 1 species